CUAAACCAGGUCUAAACCAGGUCUAAACCAGGACUGAACCAGGACUGAACCAGGACUGAACCAGGUCUAAACCAGGACUGAACCAGGACUAAACCAGGACUGAACCAGUUCUGAAUCCGGACUAAACCAAGACUAAACCAGGUCUAAACUAGGACAGAACCAGGACUGAACCAGGACCAAACCAGGACUGAACCAGGACUAAACCAGGACUGAACCAGGACCAAACCAGGACUGAAGUGAAUCUAAACAAGGACUGAACCAGGACUAAACGAUCCCUCACGUCCUCCUCAGCGCUCGACUCUGUUUGGCUCAUUUACCCAGGAUGCACCUGUGGAUCUUUAAACGCCUCACAGUGCUGCAAAUUGCCCACAAUCCACCGCAACUUCAUUUUUUACUAACUUUUUUUAAAGCAGUUGCUAUUUUAGAUCUUUUAAAAACUUUAUUAUCAGAUCAAAUGAGCUGAAAUUAGGACAAAAUAUUGAGCAAAAUGUUUUUAAGAAGAGGACUUGGAAACGAUCAUCUGAAAAUAUUUACAGCUGCACAUUUAAAUCACUAACAGACAGUGUUGGGGAGUAACAGAUUACAUGUAUUGGAGUUACAUAAUCAGAGUACAAAUUAUGAGUAACUGUAUUCAGUUACAGUUACUGUUUCAGUGAGUGGUAAUUGGAUUACAGUUACUUUGUUGAAAUAAAUGGAUUACAUGGCGGGCUUUUCCUGUUUUCACAUUUUGGACUAAACCAGGACUAAACCAGGACUAAACCAGGACUAAACCAGGUCUAAACCAGGUCUAAACCAAGUCUAAACCAAGUCUAAACCAAGUCUAAACCAGGACUAAAACGGGGUCUAAACCUAGUCUAAACCUAGUCUAAACCUAGUCUAAACCUAGUCUAAACCAGGUCUAAACCAGGUCUAAACCAGGUCUAAACCAGGUCUAAACCAAGUCUAAACCAAGUCUAAACCAAGUCUAAACCAGGGCCAAUUUGAAGAGAACAAACGAGAAUUUUCAGGAUGUGGUUGUUACAUUCAUGUAGUUUUAAAAAACAUGACAAUAUCAAGUAAUCCAAAGUAAUCUGAUUACGUUACUCACUUUAAGUAAUUUAAUGGAUAAUGUUACAAACUACAUUUUAGGAUAUGUAAUCUGUAAUCUGUACGGGAAUACAUUUUAAAAGUAAACUUCCCAACACUGCUAACAGAUGAUUCACUUAGUCGUUAAAACAUGUGAAUAAUUAAGACACUUCCGAAUACUUUUCAUUUGUAGAAGCUUUGAUGUUCAGUAAAACUUCCUCCGGAUCCUGUUCCAAAUUUUCUCCCGGGAUCUGUGAGCCGGACACGUGGCUCUGCUUCAGACGAGCCGAGUCCAGACGAGUGUUACAGAGUCGUGUUUGGAGGAAGGAUCCUGGGAAUUGAGAAACUCCCCAUGACUAAAACAGACCGAGCCACUUGUGUGUGAAUGACUAAUGUCAAGUCUAAAACGAGGACUGACUCAGGACUAAACCAGGAACGGACCCGAGACAAACCAGCACAAAACCAGGACUGUUUAAUGAAUACAGUUUUAACUUUUUACAAUGAGCUUUUACUCCUUUUGUAAAGUCACAUGGGUCUUAAACAGUGUUGGAAAGUUUACUUUUAAAAUGUAUUCCCCUACAGAUUACAGAUUACAUAUCCCAAAAUGUAGUUUGUAACUUAAUCCAUUUAAUUACUUAAAGUGAGUAAUCUGAAUACUUUGGAUUAUUUUGAUUUGCUGUAGAGAAGCAAAGACCAGGAUAUCGUAACAUAAAAUGUUUUGUCUGAUAAAAGAAAAUAAAAAGCCCAGACUUUACUGAACCAAAUUAAAAAUAUUAUUGAUAGAAGAUGAAGAGACACGUCCACACAGCAGGAUUUAAUCCUGGUUUAGACCUGGUUUAGAUCUAGUUUAGUUUCCAACAAUGAGUGGAAUUACCGAGAAAAAAGAAAAGGGGGAUAUAGUCCAAAAUGUGAAAACAGGAAAAUCCCGCCGUGUAAUCCAUUUAUUUCAACAAAGUAACUGUAAUCCAAUUACCACUCACUGAAACAGUAACUGUAUCUGAAUACAGUUACUCAUAAUUUGUACUCUGAUUACGUAACUCUUGUACAUGUAAUCUGUUACUCCCCAACACUGGCCUUAAAUGUGACCAACAGAAAUGACUCAGACAACGGUUGAGUCCUGGUUUAGUCCUGGUUGAGUCCGAGGACUUGACACUGCUGCAUGUUCCGUGUUUGUACUCGACACUAACGUCCAUGUUUACGUCUGACAAAGGGAGCCUCCACUUUUAUAUGACAGAUUUGUUCAAAUCAUAAUAUAUUCAUGUUAUAAUAAUAUAAUAAUGCCCUGUACUGUAACCUUUGUAUUCAGUGAUUAAAGUCAUAUUUAUAAAA